AUCUGGGUGGCUCAGUCGGUUGAGCAUCUGACUUCAGCUCAGGUCAUGAUCUCAUGGUUUGUGGGUUCAAGCCCCACAUCAGGCU
rnacentral:tRNA from 1 species